UUUAAUAUGGCAGAAUAAGUGCAAUGAAUUUAAGCUUCAUUCAUAAAAUUUAAUUUAAUUUUUAUUAAAA
rnacentral:tRNA from 1 species